UACGGAGGGUGCGAGCGUUGUUCGGAAUCACUGGGCGUAAAGGGCGUGUAGGCGGUCCGCUAAGUCUGAUGUGAAAGCCCGGGGCUCACCCCCGGAAGUGCAUUGGAAACUGGCGAACUCGAGUCCCGGAGAGGAGAGUGGAAUUCCUGGUGUAGCAGUGAAAUGCGUAGAGAUCAUGAGGAAGACCAGUGGCGAAGGCGGGUCUCUGGACAGUUCCUGACACUGAGGCACGAAGGUCAGGGGAGCAAACGGG
rnacentral:rRNA from 1 species